rnacentral:rRNA from 1 species
AAAUGAAUAGACGGGGACCUACACAAGCGGUGGAUCACGUGGCUUAAUUCGACAACAAGCGAGGAACCUUACCAGGGCUUGACAAACUAUUGAAGGCGCUUUGAAAAAUGCGCUUACCCGCAAGGGACAAUAGUCCAGGUGCUGCAUGGUUGUCGUCAGCAGGUGGCUUGAGUUGCUCCCUUAAAUGGGGUAACCUGCGCAACCCUUGUCCUAUGUUUUAUAUGUCAUAGGAGACUGCCUAGGACGACUAGGAGGAAGGUGAGGAUGACGCCAAAUCAGCAUGGCCUUUUGAUGCCCUGGGCUGCACACGUGAUACAAUGGAGCCGACAAUGGGAAGCGAAAGAGUAAUCUGGAGCUAAUCCUAUCAAACGGCCCCCCAAUACGGAUUGAGGUCUGAAACCCGACCUCAUGAAGCCGGAAUCGCUAGUAACCGCAGAUCAGCCAUGCUGCGGUGAAUAUGUCCCUGGGUCUUGUACACACCGCCCGU